ACAUUCUAUUGUAUCCUGGAGAGCUCUUGGAAUCCCCAGUGAUGUCACUAGUGUUUUGCAACACUGACUGCCUUGAUGUCAUUUGUUCAGUGACCACAAGCUUGGCCUCUAGACAUGUUAUCCAGACACAGAGGUCUGUUUGGCAGAGGGAAUGGACUGCAUGGAGAGACCAGAGUGAGGCAGAAGGAAGCUGGUCCUGGGUCUCCCUGGAAAACAUGGUCCUGUGGAAGAGGCAGGACUACUGGAGAGGCACCAUCCCAGCUCUCCACCUUUACUGAGCAGGAGCAGGAGCAAGAAAUGAGAAAAAUCGAAAAACUCACCAUUCGCUUGCAUGACAUGGAAUGUGAGAGAAACGAACUUCGUGGUAUCCUAGCCAAUUAUACUUGCAAGGAUUUGAACAACAGGCUGAACUUUGAAACAGAGAUGCUUGAAAUGGAACACAAGCAGGUGAUGUCAGCUCUCCAGAAAAUACCAUUGGAGAUGAGUGAAGCCUUGGACAAGUGCAAGGGGCUGAUGGAGGAGACUGAAUACUUUAGGAGCAAGAAAGCCUGGAUGAAAGACUGAAGGACCUGCUGAAUCAGAAGGAGCUGGUCACCCAGCAAAGGGACUUGGCAGAAAAGCUGCAACAUCACUUCAGUGUCUAUGAGAUGAGGUCAGAAAAUCUCCAGCAUGACCUGGAACAUGUCACAGCCCAGAAUGAGAGCCUCCUGCAGACAGAGCAACUGCAGCAGGAGCAGGAAGUAUCACAGGCAAGUGAGCCACCACUGCAUUCCAACCCGUGCAACCAUGGCAUUCAUGGGGACUGGGGGCUCUUGACAUUGGCUUCCAGUGUGAAUAGGCCCUGAUUUUGCCUAGCCUGUGACCCAGCCAGGAUGCCUCUGGGACUGAUUGCCUUUCCUUCUCACACAACAGCUUUGAGAGAACUGAGGAGGCCAAAGAAGCCACAGACCACUUGAACCCAUGGCGUUCUCCACCCUAGGAUGGAAGCCUCCUCAGAAGAAUACACAUUACAAAGUCCCAUGGGGCAUGGCUAUACUUACUUUGAAAAGGCCUUUUACAUUUGCGACUGCCUUCCUACCAUGUGUCCAAGGCCAGCCACAGGCUGUUGACUGUGCGUCAAAGUGUUGCAUGAUCAACCUAACCCUUUAAUCUUUUAAUUUAGCAAGCUGCUUAGCAUAAUUUUUUGUUUGUUGUUUUGUUCGGUUUUAUUAGCUUUGGGUUUUUUUGGUUUUCUUUGUUAUGGUUUAAGGUUUUGAAUUCA